UUCUCCUAGGUUGAAAUUGAAAAAUCCGCUAAGUCGCUCAUAAUUACCAUUCAAUUCUAAGAGUCAAGAUCAUAUUUUCUAAAUUAUUUCGAAAUAAAUCUAAUUUAAACAUUAUUAUGUUUUAAGCUUAUCCAUUAUUCAUGCAACAUCCAAUUGAGUGCACAACGAUUCGGUUUUUUAGAAAAUGGGCUCGACAUGUGGGCCUCCGUAAGUGCGGCCAGGUCAAAUAUAGGAAGGGUGGCAACGUGAAACUUUUAAAAGCCAAAUCUUUUUGACAUCCAAAGUGUCUCCUUAAAGAUUUUUCCUAGACACCACAUCAAAUAAGAGGUGACCAUUAGUGAACCCCAGUCUAAUUUCAUUAUUUUUAUUAAUUAGGUAAUCUUUUUUAAAUAUUCUCCUAAAGAAUAUUCCUUUCUAAUUUAAAAUGCUCAAUCAACAUGAGCAAAUUUGAUCGACAUUAUCUAUUUUUGAUUUUCCUAAAAUCUUGUCAUGUGUUGGAUAUUUUUUAAAGGUUAAUUAAGAACGUUUCCUUAAUUUUAGUAAAUUAAAAACAUCUCUAAUACCAAACCUAAAAAUACACUUACGUAGGUCAGUGAACCACUAUGAUU
rnacentral:lncRNA from 1 species